UUAUGUUGUCUUGAUUGGUAUACCACAUAAUACGGAUGAUAAGAGCUAAUUUAUUAAAGUCGUAAUUUGGAGUAAAGAACGAGAUGAGGGAUGACGUAUACCUACGAUGUCAAAAAAAAUAUUAUCACUAACUUUUUUCAAUUUUCACUUUCUAUAAUGUAAUACCUCAAACCGCAAAAAAUAAAAUUAUAUUAACCAAAACUGCUUUUCCUUUUCUUUUGUGUAUGUGUACAAAUUGAAAUAAAAUAACACCUAGCAAUACACGCAAAAAUAAAAAGAGCCGGUACUGGUGUCGGGUACGGCCACUGUUGUAGGUUAGAAGUGAGGAAGGUAGGAUAUAUAAGAUUAUUUCAUUUAUAUCUGUAAGCAACUUAAAUACACUUAUAGUAUUUAAAUAAUUUGAAGUGUCAUAAUUUGUUUUAAUCUUACCUUCCUACGUUUUUCCCCGAUUAUUAUGAAAACUAAUUCGAAAAUCAAAGAACGACCUGCAUUAUUAGAAAACAAGAUUAAUAAUUCAACAAAAAAGAUUUCUU